rnacentral:rRNA from 1 species
CAGGACGAACGCUGGCGGCGUGCUUCACACAUGCAAGUCGAACGAGGUUCAACCAGUCGCAAGACCGGUGAAGACCUAGUGGCGAACGGGUGCGUAACACGUGAGAAACCUGUCCCGGUCUCUGGAAUAACAAGUGGAAACACUUGCUAAUACCGGAUGACGUCGGAUCAUCGCAUGAUGAACUGACGAAAGGGUUACUGGAUCGGGAGGGUCUCGCGGCCUAUCAGCUCGUUGGUGGGGUAACGGCCCACCAAGGCUUCGACGGGUAGCUGGUCUGAGAGGAUGAUCAGCCACACUGGGACUGAGACACGGCCCAGACUCCUACGGGAGGCAGCAGUGGGGAAUCUUGCACAAUGGGCGAAAGCCUGAUGCAGCAACGCCGCGUGCGGGAAGAAGGCCCUAGGGUUGUAAACCGCUUUCAGCAGGGAAGAAAAUGACGGUACCUGUAGAAGAAGGUGCGGCCAACUACGUGCCAGCAGCCGCGGUGACACGUAGGCACCAAGCGUUGUCCGUAUUUAUUGGGCGUAAAGAGCUCGUAGGCGGUUCGGUAAGUCGGGUGUGAAAACUCUGGGCUCAACCCAGAGCCGCCACCCGAUACUGCUGUGACUCGAGUGCGGUAGGGGAGCGGGGAAUUCCUGGUGUAGCGGUGAAAUGCGCAGAUAUCAGGAGGAACACCAGUGGCGAAGGCGCCGCUCUGGGCCGUGACUGACGCUGAGGAGCGAAAGCGUGGGUAGCAAACAGGAUUAGAUACCCUGGUAGUCCACGCCGUAAACGUUGGGCACUAGGUGUGGGUCUCAACCAACGAGAUCCGCGCCGUCGCUAACGCAUUAAGUGCCCCGCCUGGGGAGUACGGCCGCAAGGCUAAAACUCAAAGGAAUUG